rnacentral:miRNA from 2 species
UAGAUGGUUGCAGCAUAAAUAGA